GACGAACGCUGGCGGCGUGCUUAACACAUGCAAGUCGAACGGAAAGGCCCUGCUUUUGUGGGGUGCUCGAGUGGCGAACGGGUGAGUAACACGUGAGUAACCUGCCCUUGACUUUGGGAUAACUUCAGGAAACUGGGGCUAAUACCGGAUAUGAGCUCCUGCUGCAUGGUGGGGGUUGGAAAGUUUCGGCGGUUGGGGAUGGACUCGCGGCUUAUCAGCUUGUUGGUGGGGUAGUGGCUUACCAAGGCUUUGACGGGUAGCCGGCCUGAGAGGGUGACCGGCCACAUUGGGACUGAGAUACGGCCCAGACUCCUUCGGGAGGCAGCAGUGGGGAAUAGUGCACAAUGGGCGGAAGCCUGAUGCAGCAACGCCGCGUGCGGGAUGACGGCCUUCGGGUUGUAAACCGCUUUCGCCUGUGACGAAGCGUGAGUGACGGUAAUGGGUAAAGAAGCACCGGCUAACUACGUG
rnacentral:rRNA from 1 species